rnacentral:rRNA from 1 species
GAUGAACGCUGGCGGCGUGCCUAAUACAUGCAAGUCGAGCGAACGGACGAGAAGCUUGCUUCUCUGAUGUUAGCGGCGGACGGGUGAGUAACACGUGGAUAACCUACCUAUAAGACUGGGAUAACUUCGGGAAACCGGAGCUAAUACCGGAUAAUAUUUUGAACCGCAUGGUUCAAAAGUGAAAGACGGUCUUGCUGUCACUUAUAGAUGGAUCCGCGCUGCAUUAGCUAGUUGGUAAGGUAACGGCUUACCAAGGCAACGAUGCAUAGCCGACCUGAGAGGGUGAUCGGCCACACUGGAACUGAGACACGGUCCAGACUCCUACGGGAGGCAGCAGUAGGGAAUCUUCCGCAAUGGGCGAAAGCCUGACGGAGCAACGCCGCGUGAGUGAUGAAGGUCUUCGGAUCGUAAAACUCUGUUAUUAGGGAAGAACAUAUGUGUAAGUAACUGUGCACAUCUUGACGGUACCUAAUCAGAAAGCCACGGCUAACUACGUGCCAGCAGCCGCGGUAAUACGUAGGUGGCAAGCGUUAUCCGGAAUUAUUGGGCGUAAAGCGCGCGUAGGCGGUUUUUUAAGUCUGAUGUGAAAGCCCACGGCUCAACCGUGGAGGGUCAUUGGAAACUGGAAAACUUGAGUGCAGAAGAGGAAAGUGGAAUUCCAUGUGUAGCGGUGAAAUGCGCAGAGAUAUGGAGGAACACCAGUGGCGAAGGCGACUUUCUGGUCUGUAACUGACGCUGAUGUGCGAAAGCGUGGGGAUCAAACAGGAUUAGAUACCCUGGUAGUCCACGCCGUAAACGAUGAGUGCUAAGUGUUAGGGGGUUUCCGCCCCUUAGUGCUGCAGCUAACGCAUUAAGCACUCCGCCUGGGGAGUACGACCGCAAGGUUGAAACUCAAAGGAAUUGACGGGGACCCGCACAAGCGGUGGAGCAUGUGGUUUAAUUCGAAGCAACGCGAAGAACCUUACCAAAUCUUGACAUCCUUUGACAACUCUAGAGAUAGAGCCUUCCCCUUCGGGGGGCAAAGUGACAGGUGGUGCAUGGUUGUCGUCAGCUCGUGUCGUGAGAUGUUGGGUUAAGUCCCGCAACGAGCGCAACCCUUAAGCUUAGUUGCCAUCAUUAAGUUGGGCACUCUAAGUUGACUGCCGGUGACAAACCGGAGGAAGGUGGGGAUGACGUCAAAUCAUCAUGCCCCUUAUGAUUUGGGCUACACACGUGCUACAAUGGACAAUACAAAGGGCAGCGAAACCGCGAGGUCAAGCAAAUCCCAUAAAGUUGUCCUCAGUUCGGAUUGUAGUCUGCAACUCGACUACAUGAAGCUGGAAUCGCUAGUAAUCGUAGAUCAGCAUGCUACGGUGAAUACGUUCCCGGGUCU